UUUCUGAAGCGAAAGGAAACAUAGCCUUUUUGUAUCAUUUUUUUUAAACCUCAAAUAUCAAAGAAACAACAUUUCAAAGCUUUUUCGAUCCACAUAAACCCAUUGGAAAAAAAUAUUGCGUGAAGUUGGUGUUUUUGUCCUAUCAAGUGCGACAUUUUGAAGGGCUUGUGACGUCACACGGUGCUUGCUCAGCGGGAAGAGAAAAAGCGCGCGAAAGGAAGGCAACGGUCAUGGCCACAACACAAGCCAGUAGAAGUUUACUUUGCGGAUUUCCGAGGCCACAAAAGCUGCAAAAAUUACGGCCUAACAAUUAAAUUGUCAAUAUUCCUUCCACCCCUAAAAUGAGACGGUGCAAAUUGACUUAUCUGGUGUGAAAAUCGUCGAGGAAUCAGAAUUUUGCACCUUUCGAACCUUAACCAAUUUGAACAGGCUGCUACGUCGGGGCCAACGAGUUACGCAAAGUUGACAUUCUUGUAGCACAGAAAAAUCGAUAGCGAAUCUAAGAGCAAUAUGGGGUUCGAACUGUGAAAGGGUUUUAGAGAGAAAUAAGUCUAUCAAGAAGGCAAAGUCGUCGAGAAAAUGGCAAGGAAGAAAAAGAAGUGAAAACUCUCUCCAUAUGUCUGUACAGAAAUAGACCAAUUGUAACAAGAUCUUGCCAAGAAAGGGAGACGGAAAUUGGGCUGGGAGAAUGUGAUAGACAUGAAGUGGCCUCCAGGUUCUAGAAUCUCUGAAACCUAAAACAAUGGAAAAUAUUCAUGUUAGAAAAAAACAUCUAAUUUUUUUAACUGAACCAAUUCAGAGAGGCCAUUAAGUGCUUUUUUGACCAAAACUUCAAGCACUUGAAUGUAAGCAUUGAGGGUCCACAAAAGGUCCCUAAAAUUCUGUUAUCCUCAAUAUGUUUGCCAUUACCCCGAAAGGAAAUUCAUGCAAAUUCAUCUCUUUAAACAUUUGUCUCCUUAAACUUGCUUUUUUUAACCUCGAAUAAAGGUAGCCCAAUCCCUAAAAAAACGCUAAA